AUUGAACGCUGGCGGCAUGCCUUACACAUGCAAGUCGAACGGCAGCGCGGACUUCGGUCUGGCGGCGAGUGGCGAACGGGUGAGUAACAUAUCGGAACGUGCCCUGGAGUGGGGGAUAACUAGUCGAAAGACUAGCUAAUACCGCAUACGCCCUGAGGGGGAAAGUGGGGGAUCGCAAGACCUCAUGCUCGAUUAGAGCGGCCGAUGCCUGAUUAGCUUGUUGGUGGGGUAAAAGCCCACCAAGGCGACGAUCAGUAGCCGGUCUGAGAGGACGAUCAGCCACACUGGGACUGAGACACGGCCCAGACUCCUACGGGAGGCAGCAGUGGGGAAUUUUGGACAAUGGGGGCAACCCUGAUCCAGCAAUGCCGCGUGAGUGAAGAAGGCCUUCGGGUUGUAAAGCUCUUUUGUCAGGGAAGAAACACCGGCUCUAACACAGUCCGGGAAUGACGGUACCUGAAGAAUAAGCACCGGCUAACUACGUGCCAGCCGCCGCGGUAAGAC
rnacentral:rRNA from 1 species